ACCUCCUCUUUCUGUCCCGUAUCCUCUACGCAUCCAUAGGGUAAUGGGUCCUGGUAUGGAGAAGAUAAAGCCUUCAAACGCGGUGGCCUACUUUGAUACAUCGGGUCAUUUGCGUGGGGAGGAUCGUGUCUACUGAGACCCAUAACUUCACGGUCGGGCUCGCACUUCUCUGUGUGUUGAUGACUGCGGGUCUUGGAGACUACAUCC
rnacentral:snoRNA from 1 species